rnacentral:misc_RNA from 1 species
ACUAAACUUUUGCUUGGUGUUUAUCUGUUUGGCAGGGUAACAGUUAAAAUUGACACCCUCGAGAAAACCAUUGUCAAACGACGCGAAGUGGACGUUAACAAUGAUUUUCGAGGGGUGUCAAGCUGUUACUCUCCCAAACAGUCACUGUUUAUUUUAUUAUACUGAAUGUCUUUAGUUUAAAUAAAUUAACUUAAAUUGC